rnacentral:misc_RNA from 1 species
GGAGUAAAAGUCGUAACAAGGUUUCCGUAGGUGAACCUGCGGAAGGAUCAUUAAUGAGUUUUGAAGUGGGCUUGAUGCUGGUGUCUUCACCGGUGCAUGUGCUCAGCCCCGCUCUCAAAUCCAUUCAACACCUGUGCACUUUCAAAGUUGUAAUCCUCCGUUAUGGGGGCUGCGGGUCAUCAUGAUCUGCUGGGAUUGCACUUUGCCCUUUUAUCACAAACUAUAUGCAUUGUUUUGUUGAAUGUGUUAGCCUCAUAGUGGGCGAAAUUUAAUACAACUUUCAACAACGGAUCUCUUGGCUCUC